rnacentral:lncRNA from 12 species
UGGGAUUAGCCAUUCUCUAGAGUGCAUCCUGAACAACUGUGCAUUGUGUAUCAUCAGUAAAGUGAGUCAACAUUGCAAAGCCCUUGCUAAGACCUUGAGAAGCAGAUUUAAUCUCCACCCUACAAUUUUGCUGAAGAUACUUUGUGAUUUAUUGUCAUUUCUAAAUCCAGAGAUGCCCAUUAAAAAUUAUUUCAGCAAGCAUGUUACACACUAAGCAGAAAGACAAUGUAAAGAGCUCAAACAUAUUUAACACCAUUCU